GACGAACGCUGGCGGCGUGGAUUAGGCAUGCAAGUCGAACGGUAUCAUCCUUUCGGGGGUGAGAGAGUGGCGAACUGGUGAGUAACACGUAGGUUAUCUACCCUCAAGACGGGGACAACCCAGGGAAACUUGGGCUAAUACCGGAUGUGAGCAACUUUUAGUUGUUUGAAAGGUGGCGUAAGCUGUCGCUUGGGGAUGAGCCUGCGUCCUAUUAGCUAGUUGGUGAGGUAACGGCUCACCUAGGCAAUGAUAGGUAGGCGGCCUUAACGGGUGGUCGCCCACACUGGGAUUGAGAUACGGCCCAGACUCCUACGGGAGGCAGCAGUCGAGAAUAGUCUACAAUGGUCGGAAGACUGAUAGUGCGACGCCGCGUGAACGAUGAAUCCCUUCGGGGUGUAAAGUUCUUUUAUAUGUGAGCAGUGCUUCUUAUAUUAACAGUAUGGGGAGAGAGAUAUUAGCAUAUGAAUAAGCAACGGCUAACUCCGUGCCAGCAGCCGCGGUAA
rnacentral:rRNA from 1 species